UGCCAGCAGCCGCGGUAACACGGGGGGCGCAAGCGUUAUUCGGAUUUACUGGGCGUAAAGAGCAUGUAGGCGGAUUGGACAGUUGGAGGUGAAAUCCCGGAGCUCAACUCCGGAACUGCCUUCAAUACUUCCAGUCUAGAAUCUGUAAGGGGGUGGUGGAAUUCCGAGUGUAGAGGUGAAAUUCGUAGAUAUUCGGAGGAAUACCAGUGGCGAAGGCGACCACCUGGUACAGUAUUGACGCUGAGAUGCGAAAGCGUGGGGAGCAAACAGGAUUAGAUA
rnacentral:rRNA from 1 species